UUACCAAUAAUUAUCUCAGAUACCUAGGU
rnacentral:piRNA from 1 species